GGGUCCUGGUCUUUCAUUUCCGUGCCAGGCCGUAGAAUGGGGUCCUGGUCUUUCCUCAGGGACUACUUGGGUCAUCCAACGUUCACCCACAUCAACAACAAAAAAUGCGAUGCAACAUAUUCGUGAAAUCUAAUGCAAUCAUCCUAUUGCAUAAUCAUGAUGCAUGAAACAUGAUAAAAAACAUUUAAUUUCUCAUUUUAAAAGAUUAAGUUUAGUUCCACUCACCUCUGGCUGACUCUGCAAACUCUGAAGCAG
rnacentral:lncRNA from 1 species